UACGUAGGGGGCAAGCGUUGUCCGGAAUCAUUGGGCGUAAAGAGCGUGUAGGCGGCCAGGUAGGUCUGCUGUGAAAACUCGAGGCUUAACCUCGAGAUGUCGGCGGAAACCAUCUGGCUAGAGUCCGGAAGAGGAGAGUGGAAUUCCUGGUGUAGCGGUGAAAUGCGCAGAUAUCAGGAGGAACACCAAUAGCGAAGGCAGCUCGCUGGGACGGUACUGACGCUGAGGCGCGAAAGCGUGGGGAGCGAACAGG
rnacentral:rRNA from 1 species